CAGCUGUCUCAAACAGACCGUGAACAGCUGACACCAAAGUGAAUGGAGGAAAUAUACAGCAUGUAUGUCCAACAACAACAAAAACAUCUGCAUAAAAAAGAAACAUGCGCCCUGAGAAACCACCAUGGAAAAAAGUCUCUUAAAGCUGAAUUAGAUCUAUCCUCUAAGAGAUCCGAAUGGCCCUCUUGAAUCAAAGCAGAAUGUAUACUACUUUGAAGGACUGUACUCUGAGAAAUUUGAGAUAAAUACCUAGAUCCCAUUCCUUGACUGGAACUAUCACUCCCAGAGAGGAAUGUCCUGAACCCAGUUCAAGAAAGCCUCUCAUCAUACCUGGACUGCAGAUACUCUAGAAAGGAGAAAUCUACCCCUGGGAGGAAAUCUUAGAUUGCUACUCCCUGGACCAAGACUGGUUGGGAUUCCCAAAGACUGGACUUUCCCUGCAGAAAGAGGCAAAGGAAGACUUCCUCUAUUCUAUCCCACUUGACGUGUGGUUGAAAAUACCUUUUUCUACCCGUAAAGUCAGAGGUUAAUUCUGCCAGACCGGGUCCAAAAAGGUCUCACAUCCCAACAAGGUCUCACCCUUGUAAGGAAGAGCCAGAAGCUUGGACUGGGAGGAAACAUUAAAUAUAAGCCAUAUAUGGCCACGGUU